CGGAGGAAAAGAAACUAACAAGGAUUCCCCUAGUAACGGCGAGUGAAGAGGGAAAAGCCCAGCACCGAAUCCCACAGCCUUGCGCUGUCGGGAACUGUGGUGUAUAGGAAGCCUACUUGUCGGCGUGUUCGGGUACCCAAGUCCUCCUGAUCGUGGCCUCUCCCAUAGCGGGUGUCAGGCCCAUACAGGCACCCGACGGCGUCGGCUUGGAGCUUCCUCGGAGUCGGGUUGUUUGGGAAUG
rnacentral:rRNA from 2 species